CCCUUCGGUCCGCCUACUCCGGCAACGUCUUAGUUUUCUGUCCAGCCGGCUUCGGGUGGGAGCUCGGAGUCCCUCGGUUCGAGACCCUGUCCCUCGGAUAGUUGCUGCGCAACCUCAGUUUCCUUGCUGGGCAAUGUAAAUAAUAACAGCGUCCUUCAAAUCAGGCGAGAUAUGGCUGGGGAAGGGGCUCAUUCGAUUCGUAGACCCUCCUAACGGACUGCUGAGCCCGCGCCGGGAUCCUGUCCUGGCAGAUCGUCCCCGCUCAGGGCCGGGAGCGGCACAGGGGCGGAGAGGGGGGCGGAGGGUCACCUUCCUCGUGGUGGGGGGAGGCGCGGGCGUACUCCGGGGCGGGGUUCUGCCGCACUCUCCCCUCCUCCUUAUUUUCCUUGCGGAGGAGGGGCGCCUCGAGGUCGUCCCGGGGCGGGGUGCGUAUUUAUCGCAGCUGCAGUUUUACAUUUGUUUCUGGAUUUGUCCUCUGCCAGCCUGCGGCCCCCAUGAGGACAGAGAGGAGUCUAGCAGACCGGGAAACUGAGGCCCAGGGAGGAUCGCCCUGCAGGAGAGCAAGUAGAGGACGGCCCUGGUCGUGUCUCCUCUCCCGAGAUCCCUGCCCUCGCUGUGCAGGACCCCAGGGACAGGCGCCCCAGUUCAGCCUCCGCGGAGCUGGGAAGGGGCCAGGCCACAGGUCAGGACCAGCCCAGAAGCAGCGCCCAGACCGGCUUCCCCGCUCCCAGGAGCCUGGGCGAGGCCGGCGGCCGGAGGGGGACGGCGCAGGCCCGGCUGGGCGGGCCCCGAUCUCCGCCGGGAAACUGACGUCCGAGGCGGGACGCUCGGAACCAGCCUGAGAAGUGAUGGGGUUCAGGGCAGGCCACCCCGAGAUGCAAGAUGCGCCACUCUGCAGAAGGACCCAGAGGCGGUAGAGGAAACGUCUUCCUCCCCUACAGAAGCGCCCUCUUCAGAAGCCGCCACCGCGGAGAGCCUCUGAGGCCCCGGGAGACUCAGCAUCCGGCCCCGGGGGCUUCCGGUUAGCUAUAGACCAAACAACACUCCUCCAUAUGAGAAGUGACGACAGGGGCCAGCCUGGUGGCAUGGUGGUGAAGUUCACACGGUGUGCUUUGGUGGCCUGGGGUUCUCGGAUCCUGGGCAUGGACCUAGGGCCACUCAUCAGCCACGCUGUGGUGGUGUCCCACGUACAAAAUAGAGGAGGAUCGGCACAGAUGUUAGCUCAGGGCCAAUCUUCUUUGCCAAAAAGAAAAAAUAAAAAAGAAGUGAUGACAUUUAUUGAUGCUUCCUGUGAGAAGGUCCCGUGCUCGGCUCCUCACACGUCCAGUCAUGUGCCACAUAGCAACUUUUUCAGUCACCGGUGGAUGGUGGUCCCACAAGAUGAGCACCGUCCCACCUAGAUGUGUGUACAUGCCCUCUGUGACGUUCGCACAACGAUGAAGUCACCUAACGAUGCAUUUCUCAGAACGUGCCCCCACCAUUAAGCGACACAUGACUGUAUUCACUUAGUCAACCCUCACGGCAGCCUGGGUCAGAAUUAAAGUGGCACUUUCACCGGCUUCGUUUUACAGAUGGGGAAACUGAGGCACAGAGCCAUCUGUGCCCAGUAAAAUGAAGUCCAUUGUUUUUCUUCCUCUCCUGGGUUUGGGGGCAGGGUUGGGUAGGGCCCUUCGGGUGGGCGGGUGGACUUUUUCUGUGUGUGUCUGUGUGUAUGUACCCUGUUCGUCUCCUGUUCACAGACAAGCAGAGCUCAGGGUGGUGACAGCCACACCCAGGCCUUCCUGCCACCAGUAGACGGCCUUUUUUCCUUCCUCUCCUCGAAUCCGAGGCUGACCGUCCCCCAUGGUCCCUCUCCAGCUUUUUCACACCCACUUACUGAGUGACUCUGUACCAUCUUUUCUCCUCCCUCAGGGUGAAUACACCUCCAGGGCCAAUUCGUGCCCACAGGCUUGAGGAGGACAAAGCUGGUUUGGGUGUGGCCUUUUUUUGGUGAUCACUAUUUACUGAGCAAAAUCAAACCGAUAGACUGGAAAGCCUGCUGCCAGCCCUCGCUGGCUGGCGUCUGGGACAGAAACGCUCGUGCCUUCGCCCUUUAGACUUGAGGGCGGGCUGGCUGGCGGGCGCCGGGGAGGGCCCUGUCCCACAGGGGCGGGUUAGAGGCCAGAGGGGCCUGGGCCUCAGGCCAGCCCCCUGCCGGUCAGCCUCCACCUGAGCCCCUGCCCGGCCCUCCGCCUUGCCCUGCCCUUCCGGCACGAACCUAGUCCUGGCUGCUCCGGGCCCUCCUGUGUCUCCUGGUGUGGUGGCCGUCCUCGUUUCCACCGCCUCCUUCCUUUCUCCCCGGUCCUGUCCAUCUUUCUCAGGACUCUCUGGACAUCUAUGGGAGGGGGACACACGAGGCCCCUGACCUCCCAGCAGUUCCCUGGAGACAAGGCAAGCCUUGUCCCUGGAUGCUGGAGCCAGGAUUGGCCCCAGGGCCACGUGGCCCAGCCCGAACCUGAGUUUCUUGUCAGACUGGGCUGGCAGCCUUUAUCUCAAUGCUCUGAGCUGGGUCUGGGCGCAGCGGGUUCCCCACAGCCACACACAAGCACACACACAGACACACACAAGACACACACACACAGACACACAAGACACACACACACACACACACACACACACACACACACACACGGCUCCCGGGAAUUCUCUGCCCCACUCUCCAAAGGGCUGAGCUUCCUUCUCAUUGUCCUGAGUUACCCUGUGUACCUGUCCCCUGCUCCCGGUGGCCUCCCCUUUUUGGAGCUGGCCUGUACCUUCUAGAAAGCUCAGAAAGGAUCCCCAGCUCCAACAGACACUCUGCGGACCUCCUGCCAGCAGCCGUCCGGGUGGCCAGGCCACAGGUGCCCUCUGCAGCGGGGACCAUCCCCACCCACUCCAGUCGUCCCCCUCCAGCGCGUGUUGCACCUGAGCCCAUCCCAUCCUGUCACCGUGACAUCCUCGGAAUCAGAACCCAGAAGACUUGAUGCCCCCGAAUGCCCCUUCCAGGAUUGGACGCUGCUGGGCCCUCCGAGGCUGUGUCAGGAGCUGGUCUGUUUCCCCCGGUGACCCCGAGACAGGCAGCCACAGCCUUCGUCCAGGCUUGGCUGAGAAGUGUCAGAUUCAAAUUCAGAUCUGUGGGGCCUGGAGCCUGAAGUCUAAGAAUGACAACAGUCAUCACAGCCAUGCCUAUUGGUUUCAGCACCUCACUCAUAUGGACUCUCGGAAUCCUCGAGACAGAAGCGCACUACAGUGUCAGCGCCCUCAUGCACCUGGAGGGAGCGGAGGCACAGCGAGGUCAGACGCCUGCCGCUCUGUGUCGUCUUCACAGCUCAAAGGGCCAGAGCCUGGCCUUGAACCCAGGCACACGCCCGGGUCUCCCCCGCAGACAUUUGGGCCAGAUGCUUCUGUGUGGGCGCUGCCUCCACCACUCGGUACCAGCAGGGCCUUCUCCCGCAGCGGUGGCAGCCACGACUGUCCACAGAUGUGACUGGAUGUUGGGGGUGGAGUGGGGCGGGGUGGGGGACAGGCUUGCCACCUGCCUUUGACUGUCCUGCCUUGCCACCCACGUGCCCACCUGCAAAGUAACACCGCAUGUGUGUGUCUGUGUGUGUGCCGCCGAGUCCUGGGGGUGACGGUGAUUGGCAGGUGCUGGCAUCUUGGGGAGGCUGGGGCCAGCGGGGCCAGCAGUCUGGGCCGUGUCCCCCCUGCCUGAGAGAGGGGUGGUGGCUUCCCAGGCCCCGUGGGUGAGACAGGCAGCCUCUUCCUUCCUGUUCCCAGAGCUGGGCGGUGACCACAGCAGCCGGAGGCCGGGCAGCCCCACCUGCCUCGGAGUAACUGGGCUGAGGCGGGCGUGUGCUCUGAGCCCCAGGGCCCUGUGGGUGUGGAGGAGAAACCAGAGGCUUAUGUAGGUCUCUAGCCCCCUGCCCACUCACAGCCCAGCCCGCCCGGGCUCUGGGCCAGCAGCUGCCAGAUGGGUGACUCACGGAGGUGUCGAGCCAGGGAGAGGAGCAGGCUGCGGGGCGGUGGGGGGCUUGUUCAGGGUGGUGGUGGGCUCGUUCUUGGCCUUCUUAGCGUCCCCAUCAUGACCAGGACCCUGGAGGCCCGUCUGACACGGGCACACCAGCUGUCUCCCUCCUCCUCUCACCUUCCUCACCCUUCUCUCAUGGGAUUUUUUCCCCUGAACGGCGCUUGGGCAGGAAGGCGGAAGUGAGCAUGGGCGUGGAAUGUCUCAGAGUCCAGGACCAGAGUGCGAGUGUGGUUGGGAGCACCUAGUGCUGGCCCUGUGGCCUUGAAGAUUGAGGCCAGGCCCUGAGCCAAGGUUCCUGCCUUCUCCCUUUUAAAAACAGGGUUUGCCCAGGGGUCCUGGGAGCUGGAGACAGAGUGGGGAAAACGGGGGCAGGCGCGCCCUGCACAGCGCCGGGCGCAUUUACAGUCUUCACGACUAGGAUCAUUUAUGUGUGAAAACCCGACGCCCAGAGAGGUUAAGUGACUUUACUGAGGUGGCUCAGGAAGGAAGCAAAAGUGCCAGGGUUCGCUUGCUGGCCCAGCUGGCUGCCAAGCCGGCCUGCGGUGGCCGUGAUCACACCCGCUGUCGGUCGUCGGCGCAGCACCCUGCAGGCCCAGUGCGUGUCGAGGUGACGGCCGGAUGACUCACAGCCAAACCACAGCCUUGGCCACAUGUGCUGGUCCUCUGCACAGCCCUCGGGUUCAGAAGGAGUUUUACAUUUUUAGACGGUUGAAAACAAAAGAAGAGCAUUCUGUGAAAUGUAAACAUCCUUGAAAUCACAGUUUCGGCCUUUGCACGUGAAGCGCGCACGGUCACGCUGGUCCACCAGCGCCCACCGCAGCGCGGGCUUGUCGCCACGACCUGCGAGGCCACACGUGGGCCAGAGCUGGCUCUUCCAGAUGUUCGCUGAUCUCUGGGCUGGACAGAGGGGUUCCCCAUCUUUGGGGGGCUGUUGGCAGAGCAGGGUGGUGCCAGUGUGUGUGGCUUCUGACUGUGGCCGCGAUGGAGCAACAUGGUCUUGCGGCCCAGAGGCGGGGCUGGAGUGGGCGCCUGUGUGUUUCCUCCCCAUCCUUGAGGGGGAGCUCGUCCGCGGGCACCUCCGGACCAUCUGCUUCCUCCAGCGUCCGCAGUGUGGACGGGGCAGGUGGGCGGCCAGGCAGGAGGCGGCCCUGCAGGACUCGGGGCACGUGGGUCUCGGCACACCCUCCUGAGUGGACGCUGCCUCCGCCUCAGGCUGGCCUGGCCGACUGGGCAGUUGUCUUGGGGGAACCCCUGCACCCUGUGCCUUCUGUCCCCUAGUGUGAGACUGUAAGGUUGUGACCUUUCCAGAAAAGCACUUGGGUCCCUGAGUUGGGGAAGCAGACCCUCUAUCCCCUGUCAGCUUUGCUGGGCUCAGCUGGGUCUGCGCUCCCUGCCCCCCAAACCCACUGAUGCAUUUAAGGCCCUUGCCUGAGCCACCAGCUCCUUCCCCAACACAAACGGCAGCAUGCUGAGGAAAGUGUCGUCUAAACACUGAUGCAUCAUCGAUGCGCUGGUUUCCUGAUUCGUUCCACACACAGUUACUGAGCUCCAUGCAGACCGGCAGAGAAUAGGUGCAGAGCCAGCCUGCGCUGGGAUGUCCUUGCUAUAUUAAGUAAAAAAAGUGAGCCACCAUACCCCAAAGAAUGGACAGCAGGCCCUCAGACACCUUCUUUCACAGGAGUGUUCAUAGGAGCACUUUUCCCGACGGCCCAAAGGUUGAAGCAGCCCACGGGUCCAUCAACAAUGAAAGGAUAAACGCAACAUGGUCCUCCAAGUGGCGGGAUAUUAUUCAGCCAUAAAAAUGAAGGAAGCUCUGAUGCAGGCUACACUGCGGAGGAACCUGGAAAACAUCACGCUCGGCUAACGAAGCCCGUCGCAGAAAGCCACAGAUUGUGUGACCUCGUUGUAGGAAAUGUCCAGCACAGGCACAUGCAGAGGCAGGAAGUAGAUACGUGGUUGCCAGAGGCUGGGAGGUGGGGGGAUGGGGAGGGACCUUGUAAUGAGUGCGAGGUCUCCUUUGGGAUGAUGGAAAUGUUCUGGAACUAGAUAGAGGUGAUAAUUGCAAGGCAUUGUGAAUGUACUCAACUGAAUCAGACGCUUUAAAAUGGUUAUUGGUUAACGUUAUGUUCUGUGAGUCUUACCUCAGUUGAAAAAGAAACCAACUCACCCAAUGUCAGUCUUGCCGGCUUCUGCUCUGGCAUCAAGGAAGAGGAUUGCCAAGGGUCUGUGGUGGGAGGCAGCGCAGGCAGGGGGACGGGAAGGAGCCAGCCGGUGCUCAUCCCCGGCUCCUUCCAGGUACUGGCCUCCCACCUGCGAGCCACGCCUGCACCGUGGCCGUGCUCCGGGCUGUGGGAGGGUGGCCGCCGGCUGCCUGCCCACUGGAGCCGCCUGGAAACAGCGGACUCCGGACGGUGGUGAGAGCAGGGUCACAGUGUAGACCAGAUGGUUAUUGAUGGCCACCCAGCAGGGCCACUGGUGACCCUUUGUCGAUGACCCAUUGGGUGAUGACAGGUGGCUGGGAGGGAGGCCGCCGGGCGUCCACAGGAUGGGGCAUUCUAGCCACUUGACUGUGAAAAUCCUCCUCUGUGAGGUCGCCAUUUGGUGAGUAGCUCAGUCCGUUCUGGCCGCUCUAACAAAAAUGCCGCAGACGGGGCUUUAUAAACCGCAGGCGUUUAUUUCCCGAAGUUCUGGAGACUGGAAGUCCACGAUCGAGGUGCAAGGGAUCCAGUGCCUGGAGAGCUCUCUUCUCAGCUCACAGACAGCAUCUCCUUGCUGGGUCCUCACUCGGCGGGAGAGCGACGGGCUCCCUGGGACCCCUUCUAUAAGGGCACUGGUCCCAUUCCGUGGGCGCUCCGCCCUCAUGACCUCAUCACCUCCCAAAGGCCCAGCCUCCUGACACCAUCGCCUCGCAGCUUAGGAUUUCAAUAUAAGAGUCUUUUUCGCCAGAGGGGGACACAAACCUUCAGACCAUAGCAGUGACCGUGCACAUGGGCCACGGAUGUCUUCACACUUUUUGCCCAUUCAGAGAAGCCUGUCUACCUACUUCUUCCCCAGACCUCCUUGUCACAAUUGUCCAGCUGUCUUCCUUUCAAGUCCCUGGCCAUCCAGGCAAACCACCGGCCGCAGCCCAUGAAUCAGCAUAUUGUCACAUGUCCAGCCAUUUCUCUUCCCAAGUAAAGCUAACAACCCAGUGCACUGGCCCCAGUUGUGCCCAUCAGCCGGGGGCAGGGGGCGCCCGUCACCCGGUCCUUCGGGGACGUCCCGGGAAAGGGCUGUGUGCUGCAGCUGUCCACUGUCAGGUGGGGCCCGCAGGCGCAGGUCGUGCUCUCCCUGAACCGAGGGCAGGAGCUCCCCGUGAAGCCGCAGGUGCAGGAUGGGGGAGAAGGCGCCCCAGCAGGACCCCACGGAUCCCUCUUAUCCUUGUAAUAGCCAUAGAUUUUUAAAAACCUGAGCAAUCCUCCUGGACUCCCUGACGUGGUGUUAGAAGUGGUGGACACAGGGCAAGACGCGGUGCUGAGACUGUCGACGGCUGGGGUGCUCAGUGCAGCCUGUCGCCCGUGCCUGUGGGGCCUGCGAGUUAAGAAUGCCCUUUGUAUUUUAAAUGCUUGAAAAAAAAUCCCAAACAUUUCACGACAUGAAAAUUACGUGCAAUUCAAACCUCAGCGUCUGGGCUGGGGACAGGAGACGGUAUUGUUUAAGAGGACAAACUUGCAACAAGUAGUGAAUAAACCCUAGAAGUCUAACGUCCAGUACAGUGAGUACAGACGACAAUGCUGUGUCACAAUCAUCAGUCUUGCUAAGACACUAGUGGUUGAAAUAACCAACCGCUAAACAGAAAGAAUAAUUACGUGACAUGCAGAAGUGUUACUUAUUGUUACAAUGGUAAUCAGACUACGAUAUGUAAAUGUAUCAGAUUAACAGGUUGGACCCCUUAAAUUUACACAAUGUUAUAUGUCAAGUAUAUUUCAAUUUAGAAACAUCUGCUGUCCUUAAAUAAAAUUUUAUUGACAAA